AAAAGUCUUUCCUGUUCUUUUCAACCUUUCCUAAUUGGAUAAAAGAAAAGUCAAUGACGACUCUUGCUAUCCACAACAAUUGCGAUCAAACGCAAAACACCCAAGUCAGUUUUUUCACCGCAUUACAUAUAACCUUGUGUGAAUUAAUUCGUGCCUGCAAAACCACUAUUAGAUACAUAAGCCAUGCUUAUCUAGAACCUACAAUUUUUAGACUAAAAGGCAUUUCACUAAAAACAAAAAAAAACUGUAUCGGAUUAUCAGUGAUCGAAGGUUCGAGUUCCUUUUAA